AUUGAACGCUGGCGGCAUGCCUUACACAUGCAAGUCGAACGGUAACGGGCCUUCGGGUGCCGACGAGUGGCGAACGGGUGAGUAAUACAUCGGAACGUGCCCGAUCGUGGGGGAUAACGAGGCGAAAGCUUUGCUAAUACCGCAUACGAUCUACGGAUGAAAGCAGGGGACCGCAAGGCCUUGCGCGGACGGAGCGGCCGAUGGCAGAUUAGGUAGUUGGUGGGAUAAAAGCUUACCAAGCCGACGAUCUGUAGCUGGUCUGAGAGGAUGAUCAGCCACACUGGGACUGAGACACGGCCCAGACUCCUACGGGAGGCAGCAGUGGGGAAUUUUGGACAAUGGGCGCAAGCCUGAUCCAGCCAUGCCGCGUGCAGGAUGAAGGCCUUCGGGUUGUAAAGUGCUUUUGUACGGAACGAAAAGCCUUCUUUUAAUACAGGAGGGUCAUGACGGUACCGUAAGAAUAAGCACCGGCUAACUACGUG
rnacentral:rRNA from 1 species